rnacentral:rRNA from 1 species
AUUGAACGCUGGCGGCAGGCCUAACACAUGCAAGUCGAGCGGAGCGGCGGACGGGUGAUUAAUGCCUAGGAAUCUGCCUGGUCGUGGGGGAUCACGUCCGGAAACGGGCGCUAAUACCGCAUACUAACAAUUAAGCCUAGGUCGGAUUAGCUAGGUGGUGGGGUAAAGGCCUACCAAGGCGACGAACCGUAACUGGUCGGAGAGGAUGAUCAGGCACACGGGAACUGAGACACGGUCCAGACACCUACGCGAGGCAGCAGUGGGGAAUAUUGCACGAGGGGCGAAAGCCGGAUGCAGCAAUGCCGCGGGAAUGAAGAAGGCGUUAGGGUGGUAAAGUACUGUCAGCGGGGAGGCGUUACCCGCAGAAGAAGCACCGGCUAACUACGUGCCAGCAGCCGCGGUAAUUC